rnacentral:rRNA from 1 species
UGGCGAACGGGUGAGUAACACGUGGGUAAUCUGCCCUGCACUCUGGGAUAAGCCUGGGAAACUGGGUCUAAUACUGGAUACGACCUUUCUCCUUAUGGGGUUUGGUGGAAAGUUUUUCGGUGUAGGAUGAGCCCGCGGCCUAUCAGCUUGUUGGUGGGGUGAUGGCCUACCAAGGCGACGACGGGUAGCCGGCCUGAGAGGGUGAUCGGCCACAUUGGGACUGAGAUACGGCCCAG